GAUGAACGCUAGCGGCAGGCCUAAUACAUGCAAGUCGGACGGGAUUCAGGAGCUUGCUUCUGAUGAGAGUGGCGCACGGGUGCGUAACACGUAUGUAACCUACCUUUAUCAGGGGGAUAGCCUCUCGAAAGAGAGAUUAAGCCCGCAUAAAAUCACAGCACAGCCUUGUGUAAUGAUCAAAUAUUUAUAGGAUAAAGAUGGGCAUGCGGAACAUUAGCUAGAUGGCGGGGUAACGGCCCACCAUGGCGACGAUGUUUAGGGGAUCUGAGAGGAUGGCCCCCCACACUGGUACGGAGACACGGACCAGACUCCUACGGGAGGCAGCAGUAAGGAAUAUUGGUCAAUGGGCGGAAGCCUGAACCAGCCAUGCCGCGUGCAGGAAGACGGCCCUACGGGUUGUAAACUGCUUUUAUACGGGAAUAAACCCAGAUACGUGUAUCUGGCUGAAUGUACUGUAAGAAUAAGGAUCGGCUAACUCCGUG
rnacentral:rRNA from 1 species